CUCUGAAGUUACUCUCAGUGUCUUGCUCUCAGGUACAGCGUGAAAAGAAGUUUAGAAAGCGAGUAUUUUUGCAUUGAGUAAUAAAAGUAAUUAUGUACAUUUAAAUGUUGUGUACGGCAUUGUAAGUGAGGUACAAGCUUUACCCAUAUUUUUGUUCUGUACGUGCGUCUGCGAAGUGUUGGUAUACCGCCAUAAUGAGGGAGAUCAAUAAGUUCGGAAGAGCAACAGAAAGAAAAACAUCCCGGUUCUAGUCGAACCGGGACUGCAUUUCGCGAUCGUUUUAAAGACGAUGAGUUGGAUUGGCAUUGAUAGUCUCUGCUUCCUACAUCGGGCAGACGCUUCUUCAGACGCGAUACUCAAUAUCAGAAAUGCUGUUAUUCUUCUGUCCAGCAUACUAUUUACCGGCGUUUUGUAUAAAGUCAUGAACGAACGCUUGUCCACUUGGAUUGCCGGUGAAAUACACACACUUAUCUGACCGCUGUUGAAUCGGAAUUCGUUGCUAAAUUAUCGGAUGAAGAUGAAAGGUCGGAAAAUGGCAGUCCCUUUGGUACGGCCCACCACAAGUAUUUUUCAGACAGCUCAUGCCCUACGGUAUUUUAGCAAACGUAAAGCUGAACGACGUAUUGAGCACAUAAUUAUGAACAGAGAUUGUCGCAUUAGCGUCGUGUGUACAUUUUUGUUCCAAGAAUAGAUAGGACGACAGAAACGCGUUCAAUUAUGAACCUGACAGUGAAGCCGGCGAACAAGAAUAUCAGGAAUUAUGCAACUGGUGUAUGUGCACGGCCAAAAUAAGACACCAGCUACCUGUUAAUCAACCUUGUAUGUAAAUGGGUGCCGUCGAAGUGGUCAAUUUCGGCCUCAUAACUACAGUUCAAGGAAGCUGUAGCACUUGUCAUAACAAUGAGUAGAUAGACAUUGUGGACACAGAGAAUAUUUGUUUGAGAAAUUGUUAUUAGAAAAUCUUUGGAGGUACUGCAACAAAGGCUUCAGAAGGAUAAGAAAAGAACUGUUGUCUUCAUCAGCACCAACAUACUGACACGCAUUCAACACAAUGAACUUGGAGAUCAGUUCAGAGUAAUUUUUUUGGACAAAUACACGGUUGUUAACCAGUGUUAUGAUGGCUUAACUCUACUGGGGUUACUUUCAUUGCUGUGUCUGAAUAUCAUUGGAGGAGUGGUAGUCCAUUCUACCUCAGGAGAGAAAACCAGAGAAGACAUAGGUGUUUGAUGCUGGAUAGGGAAUGAAGGUGAGACAGACGAUCUUAUCUGGGUGGGAGCAGAUGAUUUGGCACACCCUGGAGGGUCUUCACUGACAGUGCCAGUGGUUGUGGCCAGGGGCUACAAAAAUGCGGGCGAAACUUCUCUCGUAAAGGUGAUGCAGUUAUCUAAUGGAGUACUAUCUGAAGGAAGUAAAGGAGGUCAAUAAAUACUCAGUCAGAUCUUGACAAGACUUCAACGAGGUGCAGAGAUUGGCAGCUUGCUCUAAAUGUUCAGAAAUGUGCUGGACAUUGGUACAGUACAUUUCUAUGGAUAUGCCAAAGCAGCUGCUAUAGCCAUUUCACACUACGCUGGAGGAUGCAAUGUUGGUAGAUAUAUUCCAUGUCCUAUACGUCAGCUGUCGUGACUCAGAGGGCAGACUGUCACUUUGGACAAGACACUUAAGUCACCAAGUCUCUUAAUCUCAGUCCAGAGCUGCUCAAAAAGUCACAGUAGUGAAGAAUGAGAUUCACUUGUUACACACAGAAAUGGCCAGUGAGUGCGGGACUGUCUGUCUGCCGGUCUAUGCCACACACACAGCUGGGUUGGAUGCUCUCUGAAAGAAGAUAGAGGGGCUGUUAUGCGCGCAGUGGCUAGGACCUCGAUGGCCGUCAGUGUGUCCUCCUAGGAAUCCCACCAGCUGUAUGAGGAGGUGGCCGUCGUCGGUGUGAACACCGUCCCGCAGUAGGAGCGGUAAGUCUACAUCGAGGUCGUCAUCUCCAAAGAGCAGCUCGACCAGUUCGAGGGGAGGUUUCUAUGUGGUAGGCCGUACUGCUUUGAGUGACCAGUAUGUGAGAAACCACUGUACUGGAGGUACUGAAAUGUAGCACCUGACAUUUGCUGUUGUGCCUCCCAUAUAUUAUGUAAAAUGGACUAUGGUACAGAUUGUUUUUGCUGAUAUUGUUACCAUCACCUGCAGUGAUACAUGGAGGGAAAUUGGCUGUUACUGUUAAUAAGUUAAUGUUGUUGCAGGUAUUAUCCAUUUUGAAAUUUUAUGCUUAUAUUAGGUGUCAAAAUGAGGAUUCGAAUUGUUUCUAUAAUGACAGUAAUAUUUAUCUAACAUGACUUGCUUUGUAUUGUGGUAUGUUUAUAACAAGCUUCACUCUUACGCUAAUGAGUUAGACAAUAAGCCCAGAGCAUAUUGUUUUCAUGAUUGGUAACUGGAGUUGUGAAACUACCAUAGGCUACCAGCAGCAUGCGUAGUCUGUGUGGCAGUUUUCCUAGCUUUGGUCAGGUAAGGUUGUACCCACAUUAACUGUACAUCAUGUGUGUUACAUACCUAUCGGGUGUUACCUCGUAACGGUCACUUCUUUACAUAUGCAAAUGGUGUCUUGCUGCCCCAUAAACUGGAAGCGGUUUUCCAUCUAGAAAUUGACUGAGGAUAUGUUAAUGGAUAGGUAACAUAUGGAACAUGUUUUUUCUAUGUGGUUAUCCUCCUGUCUGCUACAUAAGAAUAAACAGUAUCGACAAAAAAACUUACAUCAAUUUUUAAUUCAGAUUUUAUCUGAAAAUUGUUGAUUUGUAACAU